AUUGAACGCUGGCGGCAUGCCUUACACAUGCAAGUCGAACGGCAGCACGGGAGCUUGCUCCUGGUGGCGAGUGGCGAACGGGUGAGUAAUACAUCGGAACGUACCCAGGAGUGGGGGAUAACGUAGCGAAAGUUACGCUAAUACCGCAUAUUCUGUGAGCAGGAAAGCGGGGGAUCGCAAGACCUCGCGCUCUUGGAGCGGCCGAUGUCGGAUUAGCUCGUUGGUGAGGUAAAAGCUCACCAAGGCGACGAUCCGUAGCAGGUCUGAGAGGAUGCUCUGCCACACUGGGUCUGAGACACGGCCCAGACUCCGACGGGAGGCAGCAGUGGGGGAUUUUGGACAAUGGGGGCAACCCUGAUCCAGCCAUGCCGCGUGAGUGAAGAAGGCCUUCGGGUUGGAAAGCUCUUUCGGCGGGGAAGAAAUGGCAACGGCUAAUAUCCGUUGUUGAUGACGGUACCCGCAUAAGAAGCACCCGCUAACUACGUGCCAGCCGCCGCGGUAAUAC
rnacentral:rRNA from 1 species